rnacentral:lncRNA from 1 species
GCAUAUUUGCAAAGCAGCAGAAGCAAACUCAUCAGAUCAUCAGGGGAAUAGCAUGUACUUGCAGGGUGAGAGCUAUUUACUAGAACAAAAUAUAGGAUUCAGUCUUUCUUUUUGUAGCAGUUUCUUGACCAAUGUAAAUGAUGUUGAUUUAGUGUUAGAUAUGAAAAAGAGUUGCACAAUAUGUAAAUUUAGAUGCACUUUCUUGGUGCUGUCGUUUUUAGAUGCACGUGAGGCCAUUCUGGACUGGUAAGUGACAAGCCUGGGACAAUAGCAUCUCCUAAAGUUAGUCGAUUUGAAGUUUGGAAGGAGCUUUAAGUUGUUGAUGUCUCACAAUCUGAUUAUGCAGUAGUCUUAGCUACUGAUCUAAUCCAAAUUAUGAGUAUACUGGAAAAGAGUUAAUUUUAAACUAAUCAUAAUGGCAUAUCUAUAUAUCAAAAUAACUUGGGUAAGAACAAAUUAAUUUUGGUAAUCAACCGAUAGAAGGAAAAAGGGCUGGUAAUAUGCAAAUUGAAAUUUCAGGUCAUGCAUGGACAUUCUGGACAACUUCGUGAUGAGACAGACACUCCAAAUCCCAGCCAGAAAGGGAAUUACUUGCAGCAAGUAGUGCUUACUAAGGAUGCAAAAUAUAGACAACAAACUAAUGAAACAAAUGAGAAGAAGGUUCAACAUGCUAGAGAGCAUCAAGUGGAAAUUGUUUUCAAGAAUGUGCAGG